GAUGAACGCUGGCGGCGUGCUUAACACAUGCAAGUCGAACGAAGCACUUUAUUUGAUUUCCUUCGGGACUGAUUAUUUUGUGACUGAGUGGCGGACGGGUGAGUAACGCGUGGGUAACCUGCCUUGUACAGGGGGAUAACAGUUGGAAACGGCUGCUAAUACCGCAUAAGCGCACGGCAUCGCAUGGUGCAGUGUGAAAAACUCCGGUGGUAUAAGAUGGACCCGCGUUGGAUUAGCUAGUUGGUGAGGUAACGGCCCACCAAGGCGACGAUCCAUAGCCGACCUGAGAGGGUGACCGGCCACAUUGGGACUGAGACACGGCCCAAACUCCUACGGGAGGCAGCAGUGGGGAAUAUUGCACAAUGGGCGAAAGCCUGAUGCAGCGACGCCGCGUGAGCGAAGAAGUAUUUCGGUAUGUAAAGCUCUAUCAGCAGGGAAGAUAAUGACGGUACCUGACGAAGAAGCACCGGCUAAAUACGUG
rnacentral:rRNA from 1 species